CCAUCCCCGGCACUGGGGGGGGGGGCAGCAAAGGGCAGCACCGCUCACCUGCUGGGUGGGGUGCUUUUCCCCUACUUUUCAUUACCUACAUUUUUAUUACCUAUAUUGUUACCGACGUUUCAAUCCGUAGGUAUCCAUAGGGCUCAUUACCGAUCCUUACACUCUGCCCAGCUGUUUCUCGGCCACACUCCGACGCACGUGGCUUUGCAGUUCCCUCCUUCUUCCCGUUUCCCCUGUUUCUCCUCGGUGCCGCAGCAGAAAGCGGGGAGUGUGUUGUGCAGCAGGAAAGUGAAGGCGGGGAAGGUUUUCCAAGGAGAAACGGGUAAUGGUGCUCUGAGGACAGGGACACUUCAGCCCUCUCCGCUAAAUCCACAGCGGGACUUCUGUGAUGUUACACUGCUGUACGCAUGCGCUCUCUGCCAGCUGCUCCAUGGCAGGUCAGUGGGUGCCCCACAGGAGGUGUGAAGCCAAAGCAUCACAUUGCUGAAGAACUGCAGCAGGAUGGGAGGGAGCAUCUGUGCCAUGGAAGAGCCUCGUGGUUAGGACAUGGCUUUGAAUCCUCUCAAGGGGAGGGAACCCAAUGUGGGUCCCUCACAUCCUGAAAGUGCUCUGUGGCUGCUGUGCUCUGGGUUAAGCUGCUGGGCUCUACUCCUCUCAGCAGUCACCCUUCCUGGUGGAAUGCUUCCAAGGCACAAAGCAGAGGAACAGUUGGAUCUGUGCACUGAACACUUCCUGAGCAAGGCUGAGACCCCAGGGCUGGGUGGUAUAGACAGGAGAGCUAAGAGGGAUGGCACCAGAGGAGUCUGAGUUCAAAUCCAAUGGGGUUUCAAUUCCAGCAGGAUUAGGAGACAGCUGCCUCCAGUUAAGGAGUUUCAAGGAACAUGAUUUUGGACUAAAGUUCUUAACUUUUCUCACUUCGAUUACAUCUGGCAACUUGGAAAUACUACCAUUCUUAUUCCACAUAAAAGUGAAUCAGCAAGAAAGUGUUGGAACUUAUCUCUGAGAUUUUAUUUUAUUUUUUCCAUUUGUAGUGCUCCUAAAAUUCAUGGGACCCCAGAGAGGACACUUUUCCAUGUCUGUUUAUUUUUCUCCAGUAAUGCACCACUGAGAAAUGUUGUUAUGUGUGUUUUGACAGUGCAGAUCCUCCUUCACAUUACCACCGUGGUUGUGUGCAGAGGUGCUGAGCAGAUUCUGAUCCCAUGGAUGAUGCUGGAAGUACCAAUUGGUGGAAAUCAUUCCACACCAAAAGCAAGCAUGUUCAUGAGAGUAUGGGCUACUAAAUCUAUCUUCCUUCCUUCCUUCCCUCCUUCCCUCCUUCCCUCCUUCCUUCCUUCCUUCCUUCCUUCCUUCCUUCCUUCCUUCCUUCCUUCCUUCCUUCCUUCCUUCCUUCCUUCCUUCCUUCCUU
ensembl:lncRNA